rnacentral:rRNA from 1 species
GUAGGGAAUAUUGGACAAUGGGGGCAACCCUGAUCCAGCCAUGCCGCGUGAGUGAAGAAGGCCCUCGGGUUGUAAAGCUCUUUUGUCCGGAAAGAAAAGCUUCGGGUUAAUACCCCGGGGUUCUGACGGUACCGGAAGAAUAAGCACCGGCUAACUUCGUGCCAGCAGCCGCGGUAAUACGAAGGGUGCAAGCGUUACUCGGAAUUACUGGGCGUAAAGCGUGCGUAGGUGGUUGUUUAAGUCUGAUGUGAAAGCCCUGGGCUCAACCUGGGAAUGGCAUUGGAAACUGGGCAGCUAGAGUGCGGUAGAGGGUAGUGGAAUUCCCGGUGUAGCAGUGAAAUGCGUAGAGAUCGGGAGGAACAUCUGUGGCGAAGGCGACUGCCUGGACCAGCACUGACACUGAGGCACGAAAGCGUGGAGAGCAAACA